CCUACGGGUGGCAGCAGUGAGGAAUAUUGGUCAAUGGGCGCGAGCCUGAACCAGCCAAGUCGCGUGAAGGAAGAAUGCCCUACGGGUUGUAAACCUCUUUUGUGAGGGAGCAAAGUUAGUCACGUGUGACUGUUGGAAUGUACCUUAAGAAUAAGCAUCGGCUAACUCCGUGCCAGCAGCCGCGGUAAUACGGAGGAUGCGAGCGUUAUCCGGAUUUAUUGGGUUUAAAGGGAGCGUAGGGGGGUUGUUAAGUCAGAUGUGAAAGUCUGUGGCUCAACUCCAAAACGGCAGUUGAUACUGGCAGUCUUGAGUAGAGUAGAGGUAGGCGGAAUGCGUGGUGUAGCGGUGAAAUGCGUAGAGAUCACGAAGAACUCCGAUUGCGAAGGCAGCAUACUGGACGACGACUGACGCUGAGGCGCGAAAGCGUGGGUAGCAAACAGGAUUAGAUACCCGUGUAGUC
rnacentral:rRNA from 1 species